rnacentral:lncRNA from 1 species
UUUUUUUUUUUUUUUUUGAGACGGAGUCUUGCCCUAUCAUCCAAGCUGGAGUGCAGUGGCACAAUCUCAGCUCACUGCAAGCUCCACCUCCUGGGUUCACACCAUUCUCCUGCCUCGGCCUCCCGAGUAGCUGGGACUACAGGUGCCUGCCAAGUUUUUAUAUUUGUUAUGAAUACAUGUGAAAGAAGGUCUGUUCUCUGUAAGGCACAUAAUUGGGGAUUAUAUAUGUAGUUUCAUGUGCAUACUAUUGAGAAAACAAGAAUGUUACAUAUCAAAAUUUAGGAGAGAAAGGCCAAAGCUGCACUAAAAGAUAAAUUCAUAGCAGUAAAAACAGUCAUUAAAAGAAGAAAGAUAGAAGGAAGGAAGGACAAGAGGAGGUAGAGAAAGAGGGGUGGAGAAUUCCUCUUCACUGGCAUUUUAUAAAUUUUAUUUAUUUUUUGAGAGAAUAGAUCAUUUUCAUGCUACCUUAAUUAUCUCAGAGUGUAGAAGAAGACAGAAAGAUAUUUAAUUCAUUUUAUGAAGCUACCAUUAUUCUGAUCAUCAUAUUGAAAUCUCACAAAUAUAAAAAAAGAAAAAGCAAAACCAUGGAUUCUUCUCAUUUUGAAUAUAGACCGGGAAAUUUCAAGUAAAAUAUUAGCAAAUUCAGCAGAAUAGUAGGAGAAUAAUCCACCAAGAACACGUAGGCAUCAUCCUAGUAAUUCAAGGAUGGCCCAAUUUUAAUCCAAAAGAUAAUAGUUGUAAAAUAAUCUCAAGAGAUGGUAAAAAUAUUUUCAUUACUUGCAAUGGCCUUUCCUGAUUUUUAAAAGCUCUUUGAAAGCAGAAAUAGACAAAUGUCAUGUCAGCAUGGUAAAAAUAUCUAAAAGUAAAACCAGUGUCUUACUGGAUGGAACAAAACUGUAAUAUCACCUUGUUAUCAACAAUAAUGCAGUUCUCAAUUAUUAGAAUAAAACAUGAAAUAGACAUUAGAAGAAGAAUCACUGGAGAAAAUUUUGCAAGAAAAUCAUAAGUUGCAAGAGAUACACCUGUGUGUAUUUUAGAAAAAGAUACAACAGUAAAAUGAAUACAGAAUUGUCAGACUUGAUUACUUGAAGGAAUUUUCUGUUCAUCAAAGUUGUGCACCACUUCCAACUUCUGGCAAUGGCAGGGUAGCUUCUAUCAUUCUGACCUUUCUGCCUAAAACAAUGAUAAACGCUGAAGAAAAUGUGUAAAAUACUGACUUGAAGGCAUGGGCUUUGAAUAUGUGUUUGCUGUUUGUUCCACCACCUGGCGAGGCCAAAGUGUUCCUGGGAUCCUGCUGGCCCCAGAACGAGACUGUGGGGCAGGCCCGGCUGGGCUCACCUGUGGCAGGGGCAGAACUGCUUCGACCUCCCCAGCCCCGUGAGAAAUAAAAGUUGAUGGUGAAAGCUAUGGGAAUGUGGGGAUUGUUUCUUAUGCAGAAUUAUCAUAGCAAAAACCCUGCCUCAAAUGGAAACUGCCAGCAGAUGGGGGUGCUGCUAUAAAAGAACUGAAGGGAGAAGCCCUGGCCACCGACGAGGCCACAGACAGGUAGGAAACUGGUUCAGGCUAGAAAAAUUAAGACCUGUUAUGUAAUGGUGGAAAAAGCAGCUGCCCACAACAAGCCACAUAACAGAAAAUGCACCUCAAGUUGCCAGAUUCGCUUAUUAUGACUAACUGCCCUUGAUAAGGCACCACUAGGGACAGGAACCCAGAAAACAGCUGGCUGCUUAUGUACAGAAUGCAGAGGGUGUGUUGGGAGCCAGAAACUCUAGAACUGGCAGGAACUGAAAAGUGGAACUGCUUCUCAUCUCGUCAGUAAAAGGUAAAAUUAAGAAUGGUCUGAGUUUGCCCCCCAAGAUUCAGCCUCAAGGCAGAGACCAAGUACAGGGUGAAGGCCACCAGGACCCAGCAUGGGGGCAGAGGCUGAGUCCAGGGUGAGACCACUGGGACCCAGCAGGGAGGCAGAGGCCAAGACCAGUAGAAGACCACUGGGACCCGGCGUGGAGGCAGAGGCCGAGUCCAGGGUGAAGGCCACUGGGACCCAGUGUGGGGACUGAGGCUGAGUCCAGGGUGAGACCACUAGGAUCCAGAAACAGGCCGAGUCCAGGGGUGAAGGCCACUGGGACCCAGUGUGGGGACUGAGGCCGAGUCCAGGGUGAGACCACUAGGAUCCAGAAAGAGGCCGAGUCCAGGGUGAAGGCCACUGGGACCCAGUGUGGGGACUGAGGCCGAGUCCAGGGUGAGACCACUAGGAUCCAGAAAGAGGCCGAGUCCAGGGUGAAGGCCACUGG